rnacentral:tRNA from 2 species
GGGUGCAUAGCUCAGUUGGUAGAGCAACGGCCUUUUAAGCCGUGGGUCGCAGGUUCGAUCCCUGCUGCACUCA